AUUGAACGCUGGCGGCAGGCCUAACCCAUGCAAGUCGAGCGGAUGACGGGAGCUUGCUCCUUGAUUCAGCGGCGGACGGGUGAGUAAUGCCUAGGAAUCUGCCUGGUAGCGGGGGACAACGUUUCGAAAGGAACGCUAAUACCGCCUACGUCCUACGAGAGAACGCAGGGGACCUUCUGGCCUUGCGCGAUCAGAUGAGCCUAGGUCGGAUUAGCUAGUUGGUGGGGUAAUGGCUCACCAAGGCGACGAUCCGUAACUGGUCUGAGAGGAUGAUCAGUCACACUGGAACUGAGACACGGUCCAGACUCCUACGGGAGGCAGCAGUGGGGAAUAUUGGACAAUGGGAGAAAGCCUGAUCCAGCCAUGCCGCGUGUGUGAAGAAGGUCUUCGGAUUGUAAAGCACUUUAAGUUGGGAGGAAGGGCAGUAAGUUAAUACCUUGCUGUUUUGACGUUACCGACAGAAUAAGCACCGGCUAACUCUGUGCCAGCCGCCGCCGUAA
rnacentral:rRNA from 1 species